UGGGGAAUAUUGGACAAUGGGCGCAAGCCUGAUCCAGCAAUGCCGCGUGUGUGAAGAAGGCCUGCGGGUUGUAAAGCACUUUCAGUGGGGAGGAAGGCCUCGAUGUUAAUAGUAUCGAGGAUUGACGUUACCUACAGAAGAAGCACCGGCUAACUCUGUGCCAGCAGCCGCGGUAAUACAGAGGGUGCGAGCGUUAAUCGGAAUUACUGGGCGUAAAGGGCGCGUAGGUGGUUGAUUAAGUCAGAUGUGAAAUCCCCAGGCUUAACCUGGGAAUUGCAUAUGAAACUGAUUAGCUAGAGUAUGGUAGAGGGAAGUGGAAUUUCCGGUGUAGCGGUGAAAUGCGUAGAUAUCGGAAGGAACACCAGUGGCGAAGGCGACUUCCUGGACCAUUACUGACACUGAGGCGCGAAAGCGUGGGGAGCGAACAG
rnacentral:rRNA from 1 species